rnacentral:lncRNA from 1 species
UGAGUUACAAAGCAGCACAUUCCAUCUAAUUUAUGGAUCUAAAGCACAGCAAGAUGCAAAGAUCUGCUCUUUACUUGGAUCACCAUGUAUCGCUCUUCUCUGCCAUGAACACUCUGCUUCAUUCACGCGAAGGAUACUGGCUGCAAGUCUCCUCCUCGUCUACCUCGAGUUGAUCUGUGACUUCACUUCCAUGAGUAACUGAUCCUGAGGAAGCAUCAGAAGCCAAGGAAUCGUCGUCGUCGUGCUCACCGUCGGCAACCACUUGGCCACCAUCAUGCAUGGGUGUUGCAAGGUACAUGGUCCAACCAGACUGGCUGCUGUCACACUCUUCUCCCUCUGCAGUUACCUCAGAAGAAGACUCCAUGUUCAUGCUGAUCAGGUGUAGAGCACACAACCUGCAGAAAGAAUCCAGCCGAAGGAAUGUUAGCUGCAGCUGCAAAUGUCAGAGAGAAGGAAAUGAACUCACACACACCUCUUUUAUGUUCUUCAGCUGUG